rnacentral:rRNA from 1 species
UAACCUGCCCAAGAGACUGGGAUAACACCUGGAAACAGAUGCUAAUACCGGAUAACAACACUAGACGCAUGUCUAGAGUUUAAAAGAUGGUUCUGCUAUCACUCUUGGAUGGACCUGCGGUGCAUUAGCUAGUUGGUAAGGUAACGGCUUACCAAGGCAAUGAUGCAUAGCCGAGUUGAGAGACUGAUCGGCCACAUUGGGACUGAGACACGGCCAAACUCCUACGGGAGGCAGCAG